rnacentral:rRNA from 1 species
UACGUAGGCAGCAAGCGUUGUUCGGAGUUACUGGGCGUAAAGGGCCAGUAGGCGGCCAACUAAGUCGGAUGUGAAAUCCCCAGGCUUAACCUGGGAACUGCAUCCGAUACUGGAUGGCUUGAAUUCGGGAGAGGGAUGCAGAAUUCCAGGUGUAGCGGUGAAAUGCGUAGAUAUCUGGAGGAAUACCGGUGGCGAAGGCGGCAUCCUGGACCGACAUUGACGCUGAACGGCGAAAGCUAGGGGAGCAAACGGG